rfam:Myotis davidii contig50309, whole genome shotgun sequence.
GGUGGUGCUUGGGUGAUGCACCCCAGAAUUGGGCUCCCUCCUCUCUGGCUCUGGGUGCCUCAUCUGAGAACCGCA